UAUGUGAUCGUCUCUCGCAUAUCAAUAAGCGGAGGAAAAGAAACUAACAAGGAUUCCCCUAGUAACGGCGAGUGAAGCGGGAAGAGCUCAAAUUUGAAAUCUUAAAGGGUUUCCCUUUACGAAUUGUAGUUUAAAGAAGUGUUUUCUGUUGAGGUUUUGGUAAAAGUUCUUUGGAAUAGGGACAUCAUAGAGGGUGAGAAUCCCGUAUUUGACCUUUACUUUCAACUUUGUGAUACACUUUCAAAGAGUCGGAUUGUUUGGGAAUGCAGUCCAAAAUGGGUGGUAAAUUUCAUCUAAAGCUAAAUAUUGGCGAGAGACCGAUAGCGAACAAGUACCGUGAGGGAAAGAUGAAAAGAACUUUGAGAAGAGAGUUAAACAGUACGUGAAAUUGUCAAAAGGGAAGCGUUUGACACCAGUGUUGUUUUUCUGAAAAUCAAUUAAAGAACUGUUUAUGCUAAGUUGUUUAGACUUUAUCAGCUAACUGUUUAGUUUUGAGCUUUUCUUUAAUGCACUUUUCAGUUAACAAGUCAACAUCAAUUUCUUUUGCUGUAAAAAAGCUUGAGGAAGGUGGCUUGAGAUUCGUCUUAAGUGUUUAUAGCCUCUUGCCUAUGACAGUCGGAGAGAUUGAGGUCUGCAGCGUAGAUCCUUCGGGGCUAAAUGCAUUUGUGCUAAGUUAUAGCAUUUUAUAGACAACUUGUUGACUAUGAUUUGUCUUGUAGCUUACUCGCUUAUGUUAUUUUACCUACGCUUAGGAUGUUGAAGACUCUACAGAGAUA
rnacentral:rRNA from 1 species